UAACCUGCCCAAGAGAUCGGGAUAACACCUGGAAACAGAUGCUAAUACCGGAUAACAACAGAUGAUGCCUAUCAACUGUUUAAAAGAUGGUUCUGCUAUCACUCUUGGAUGGACCUGCGGUGCAUUAGCUAGUUGGUAGGGUAACGGCCUACCAAGGCGAUGAUGCAUAGCCGAGUUGAGAGACUGAUCGGUCACAUUGGGACUGAGACACGGCCCAAACUCCUACGGGAGGCAGCAGAC
rnacentral:rRNA from 1 species